rnacentral:rRNA from 1 species
AACGGGCCGUACCAAGGCGAUGAUGCAUAGCCCGAGUUGAGAGACUGAUCGGGCCACAUUGGGACUGAGACACGGCCCAAACUCCUACGGGAGGCAGCAGUAGGGGAAUCUUCCACAACGGACGCAAGUCUGAUGGAGCAAACGCCGCGUGAGUGAAGAAGGUUUUCGGAUCGUAAAAGCUCUGUUGUUGGUGAAGAAGGAUAGAGGUAGUAACUGGCCCUUUAUUUGACGGUAAUCAACCCAGAAAGUCACGGGCUAACUACGUGCCCAGCAGCCGCGGUAAAU